rnacentral:rRNA from 1 species
GACGAACCGUGCGAACGUUGUUCGGAAUCACUGGACUUAAAGGGCGCGUAGGCGGGUUCGCAAGUCUGUGGUGAAAGCCUCCAGCUUAACUGGAGAAGUGCCGUGGAUACUGCGAAUCUUGAGGAGGGUAGGGGCGUCUGGAACGGUCGGUGGAGCGGUGAAAUGCGUUGAUAUCGACCGGAACUCCGGUGGCGAAGGCGAGGCGCUGGACCCUUUCUGACGCUGAGGCGCGAAAGCCAGGGGAGCAAACGGG